UACGUAGGUGGCAAGCGUUAUCCGGAAUUAUUGGGCGUAAAGAGCGCGCAGGUGGUUGAUUAAGUCUGAUGUGAAAGCCCACGGCUUAACCGUGGAAGGUCAUUGGAAACUGGAGGACUUGAGUGCAGAAGAGGAGAGUGGAAUUCCAUGUGUAGCGGUGAAAUGCGUAGAGAUAUGGAGGAACACCAGUGGCGAAGGCGACUCUCUGGUCUGCAACUGACGCUGAGGCGCGAAAGCGUGGGUAGCGAACAGGA
rnacentral:rRNA from 1 species